rnacentral:rRNA from 1 species
GAGUUUGAUCAUGGCUCAGGAUGAACGCUGGCGGCGUGCCUAACACAUGCAAGUCGAGCGCGGUUGUGCUUAGUAUUGAGUGUUUUAUUGAUAUAAAACAUUGAAUUCUAUGCACAACUGAGCGGCGGACGGGUGAGUAACGCGUGGGUAACCUGCCCUAUACACAUGGAUAACAUACUGAAAAGUUUACUAAUACAUGAUAACAUAGUUUUUCGGCAUCGAAGAAUUAUCAAAGUGUUAGCGGUAUAGGAUGGACCCGCGUCUGAUUAGCUAGUUGGUGAGAUAACUGCCCACCAAGGCGACGAUCAGUAGCCGACCUGAGAGGGUGAUCGGCCACAUUGGAACUGAGACACGGUCCAAACUCCUACGGGAGGCAGCAGUGGGGAAUAUUGCACAAUGGGCGCAAGCCUGAUGCAGCAACGCCGCGUGAACGAUGAAGGUCUUCGGAUCGUAAAGUUCUGUUGCAGGGGAAGAUAAUGACGG